GGGUCGCGGUAUGGCGGGAAACAGUUCAAUCGCAAUGGCUUGAACCGGGUAAAAGUCGUAACAAGGUAUCUGUAGGUGAACCUGCAGAUGGAUCAUCG
rnacentral:rRNA from 1 species